rnacentral:snRNA from 1 species
GUGCUCACUUCGGCAGCAUAAAUACUAAAAUUGGAACGAUACAGAGAAGAUUAGCACGGCUCCUAUGCAAGGAUGACACGCAAAUUUGUGAAGCAUUCCAUAUUUUU